AUCCAACUGAUGAGUCCCAAAUGAAGUAAAACGUGCGUCUUGGAU
rfam:Schistosoma haematobium C9924113_1, whole genome shotgun sequence.